rnacentral:rRNA from 1 species
UACGAAGGGGGCUAGCGUUGCUCGGAUUCACUGGGCGUAAAGGGUGCGUAGGCGGUCGGGUAAGUCUGAUGUGAAAUCUCCAAGCUUAACUUGGAAAUGGCAUCGGAUACUAGUUCGGCUCGAGGAAUGGAGGGGAGACUGGAAUACUUGGUGUAGCAGUGAAAUGCGUAGAUAUCAAGUGGAACACCAGUGGCGAAGGCGAGUCUCGUGGACAUUUCCUGACGCUGAGGCACGAAAGCCGGGGAGCAA